GACCUGCGGAAGGAUCAUUACUGAGUGAGGGCCCUCUGGGUCCAACCUCCCACCCGUGUUUAUUGUACCUUGUUGCUUCGGUGCGCCCGCCUCACGGCCGCCGGGGGGCUUCUGCCCCCGGGUCCGCGCGCACCGGAGACACUAUUGAACUCUGUCUGAAGAUUGCAGUCUGAGCAUAAACUAAAUAAGUUAAAACUUUCAACAACGGAUCUCUUGGUUCCGGCAUCGAUGAAGAACGCAGCGAAAUGCGAUAACUAAUGUGAAUUGCAGAAUUCAGUGAAUCAUCGAGUCUUUGAACGCACAUUGCGCCCCCUGGUAUUCCGGGGGGCAUGCCUGUCCGAGCGUCAUUGCUGCCCUCAAGCACGGCUUGUGUGUUGGGCUCCGUCCCCCCGGGGACGGGUCCGAAAGGCAGCGGCGGCACCGAGUCCGGUCCUCGAGCGUAUGGGGCUUUGUCACCCGCUCUGUAGGCCCGGCCGGCGCCAGCCGACAACCAAUCAUCCUUUUUUCAGGUUGACCUCGGAUCAGGUAGGGAUACCCGCUGAACUUAAGCAUAUCAAUAAGCGGAGGAA
rnacentral:rRNA from 1 species